CAAGUGACCAAGCUUGUCCUGCUACGACAACGUCCCGCUAAGUUGUCCAUUGGGCACCAUGGUGAGCGGUCCCUGGAGAGCUUCUGUCACUGGCAGAACGAGGAGUAUGGAGGAGCGCGAUACCUCGGCAAUAACCAGGUUCCCGGCGGGAAGGACGACCCGCCCCUGGUGGAUGCUGCCGUGUUUGUGACCAGGCUGUGGUCAAGCCGGACAGUGUAUUCUCCAAGACGUUCCCUGACAAACAGGUGGCUAGGUGGCUGCCAUGGAGGACGUGAGCAUGACAUGUCUAGCAGGAGCUGCUGAGCCAGAAGCGGUUGAAGCUGGGUUUUCUGCAGCUGUGUCUGGGACUUGGAAGGACCCCUGAGUGGACUGGGCCUGGGGUCACACGGAGCCCACACAGAAGCC
rnacentral:lncRNA from 1 species